GACGGAGGGGGCUAGCGUUGUUCGGAAUGACUGGGCGUAAAGGGCGCGUAGGCGGUUUUUUAAGUGAGGCGUGAAAGCCCUGGGCUUAACCCAGGAAUUGCGUUUCAUACUGGAAAACUUGAGUACGAGAGAGGUAAGUGGAAUUCCUAGUGUAGAGGUGAAAUUCGUAGAUAUUAGGAAGAACACCAGUGGCGAAGGCGGCUUACUGGCUCGUAACUGACGCUGAGGCGCGAAAGCGUGGGGAGCAAACAGG
rnacentral:rRNA from 1 species